rnacentral:rRNA from 1 species
UCAGUAACACGUAGUCAACCUGCCCUGGAGACGUGGACAACCCCGGGAAACUGGGAUUAAUCCGUGAUAGGUCAUCUCAUCUGGAAGGAGAGAUGGCUUAAAGGGAUGCGAGAGCUUCUUUCUUGUUUUCGCUCCAGGAUGGACUGCGGCCGAUCAGGCUGUUGGUGGGGUAAUGGCCCACCAAACCUGUAACCGGUACGGGCCUUGAGAGAGGGGGCCCGGAGAUGGACACUGAGAGAAGGGUCCAGGUCCUACGGGGCGCAGCAGGCGCGAAACCUUCGCAAUGCGCGAAAGCGUGACGAGGUUAAUCCGAGUGGUCCCCGCUGAGGGGAUCUUUGGUCGGCUGUAAAAAGGCCGGUGAAUAAGGGGAGGGCAAGCCUGGUGCCA